rnacentral:rRNA from 1 species
UACGUAGGCAGCGAGCGUUGUUCGGAGUUACUGGGCGUAAAGGGUGUGUAGGCGGUUCUUUAAGUUUGGCGUGAAAUCUCCCGGCUCAACCGGGAGGGUGCGUCGAAUACUGAGGGACUAGAGUACGGGAGAGGAAAGUGGAAUUCCUGGUGUAGCGGUGAAAUGCGUAGAUAUCUGGAGGAAUACCGGUGGCGAAGGCGGCAUCCUGGACCAUUACUGACGCUGAGGCGCGAAAGCUAGGGGAGCAAACGGG